rnacentral:rRNA from 1 species
AUACGUAGGUGGCAAGCGUUGUCCGGAUUUACUGGGUGUAAAGGGUGCGUAGGCGGGUAGGCAAGUCAGGUGUGAAAUACCCGAGCUCAACUUGGGUGCUGCAUUUCAAACUGGAUAUCUAGAGUGCAGGAGAGGAAAGCGGAAUUCCUAGUGUAGCGGUGAAAUGCGUAGAGAUUAGGAAGAGCACCAGUGGCGAAGGCGGCUUUCUGGACUGUAACUGACGCUGAGGCAUGAAAGCGUGGGGAGC